GGGUGUAAAAAGUUUUGAUCCACCUCUCGUGAAAAAGACAAAUUCAUGCCGAUUCAAUUGGAAGCGGGUCAAAUUUGAACCGUAGCUACCUCAUAGUUUGCUCUUUAUUUUUUCCAAAAAUCAUUUCUAGGUACAUAAGUAUCUAUUUAA